rnacentral:tRNA from 1 species
GGGAAUGUGGCUUAGUGGUAAAGUGCUUGGCUAGCAUGCAUGAAGCCCUGGGUUCGAUUCCUCAGUACCA